rnacentral:ncRNA from 1 species
CUCUUAUCAAGAGUGGUGGAGGGACUGGCCCGAUGAAGCCCGGCAACCCGCUGUCCCGGCUUGACUGGGGGCGACAGGUGCCAAUUCCUGCAGGGCAUUUGCCCUGAGAGAUAAGGG